GAUGAACGCUGGCGGCGUGCCUAAUACAUGCAAGUCGAGCGAACAGACGAGGAGCUUGCUCCUCUGACGUUAGCGGCGGACGGGUGAGUAACACGUGGAUAACCUACCUAUAAGACUGGGAUAACUUCGGGAGACCGGAGCUAAUACCGGAUAAUAUAUUGAACCGCAUGGUUCAAUAGUGAAAGACGGUUUUGCUGUCACUUAUAGAUGGAUCCGCGCCGCAUUAGCUAGUUGGUAAGGUAACGGCUUACCAAGGCAACGAUGCGUAGCCGACCUGAGAGGAUGAUCAGCCACACUGGAACUGAGACACGGUCCAGACUCCUACGGGAGGCAGCAGUAGGGAAUAUUCCGCAAUGGGCGAAAGCCUGACGGAGCAACGCCGCGUGAGUGAUGAAGGUCUUCGGAUCGUAAAACUCUGUUAUUAGGGAAGAACAAAUGUGUAAGUAACUAUGCACGUCUUGACGGUACCUAAUCAGAAAGCCACGGCUAACUACGUG
rnacentral:rRNA from 1 species